rnacentral:lncRNA from 1 species
AACCCUCUAGCUUGAAUCCUAAAUACCAAUCAAUUAAUUGAAACCAAUUAUAUAGACUAGCUCACAAACCUAAGAAUCAUUCUUAAUUUUAGAAAAUUAAGUAAUGUUCUCUACCAGGUUAUUUUGAUGUUAACAAUCCAUCCAACUUAUAGUCAACGAGCACUACUUGAUGAGUGGAUGGACAAUGUCAAUAAAGAUAGGUGUUAUAUAUUGAAGUCUAUGAACUCCAACGUAUGCAUGAGCACAUGUUC